AGAGUUUGAUCAUGGCUCAGAUUGAACGCUGGCGGCAGGCCUAACACAUGCAAGUCGAGCGGUAACACAGAGAGCUUGCUCUCGGGUGACGAGCGGCGGACGGGUGAGUAAUGUCUGGGAAACUGCCUGAUGGAGGGGGAUAACUACUGGAAACGGUAGCUAAUACCGCAUAAUGUCGCAAGACCAAAGUGGGGGACCUUCGGGCCUCAUGCCAUCAGAUGUGCCCAGAUGGGAUUAGCUAGUAGGUGGGGUAACGGCUCACCUAGGCGACGAUCCCUAGCUGGUCUGAGAGGAUGACCAGCCACACUGGAACUGAGACACGGUCCAGACUCCUACGGGAGGCAGCAGUGGGGAAUAUUGCACAAUGGGCGCAAGCCUGAUGCAGCCAUGCCGCGUGUGUGAAGAAGGCCUUCGGGUUGUAAAGCACUUUCAGCGGGGAGGAAGGCGNNNCGAUUGACGUUACCCGCAGAAGAAGCACCGGCUAACUCCGUGCCAGCAGCCGCGGUAAUACGGAGGGUGCAAGCGUUAAUCGGAAUUACUGGGCGUAAAGCGCACGCAGGCGGUCUGUCAAGUCGGAUGUGAAAUCCCCGGGCUCAACCUGGGAACUGCAUUCGAAACUGGCAGGCUAGAGUCUUGUAGAGGGGGGUAGAAUUCCAGGUGUAGCGGUGAAAUGCGUAGAGAUCUGGAGGAAUACCGGUGGCGAAGGCGGCCCCCUGGACAAAGACUGACGCUCAGGUGCGAAAGCGUGGGGAGCAAACAGGAUUAGAUACCCUGGUAGUCCACGCCGUAAACGAUGUCGAUUUGGAGGUUGUGCCCUUGAGGCGUGGCUUCCGGAGCUAACGCGUUAAAUCGACCGCCUGGGGAGUACGGCCGCAAGGUUAAAACUCAAAUGAAUUGACGGGGGCCCGCACAAGCGGUGGAGCAUGUGGUUUAAUUCGAUGCAACGCGAAGAACCUUACCUGGUCUUGACAUCCACAGAACUUUCCAGAGAUGGAUUGGUGCCUUCGGGAACUGUGAGACAGGUGCUGCAUGGCUGUCGUCAGCUCGUGUUGUGAAAUGUUGGGUUAAGUCCCGCAACGAGCGCAACCCUUAUCCUUUGUUGCCAGCGGUCCGGCCGGGAACUCAAAGGAGACUGCCAGUGAUAAACUGGAGGAAGGUGGGGAUGACGUCAAGUCAUCAUGGCCCUUACGACCAGGGCUACACACGUGCUACAAUGGCAUAUACAAAGAGAAGCGACCUCGCGAGAGCAAGCGGACCUCAUAAAGUAUGUCGUAGUCCGGAUUGGAGUCUGCAACUCGACUCCAUGAAGUCGGAAUCGCUAGUAAUCGUAGAUCAGAAUGCUACGGUGAAUACGUUCCCGGGCCUUGUACACACCGCCCGUCACACCAUGGGAGUGGGUUGCAAAAGAAGUAGGUAGCUUAACCUUCGGGAGGGCGCUUACCACUUUGUGAUUCAUGACUGGGGUGAAGUCGUAACAAGGUAACCGUAGGGGAACCUGCGGUUGGAUCACCU
rnacentral:rRNA from 1 species